UUGUUAUGAAAUAAUAUAAGAACAAGAACAAUAAUACAAGAACAAGAACAAUAGAGAGAAAAGUAGAGAGAGAGAAGUAUUCUUAUUAAUACUUUUGGGAUGUUAAGAGUGAUUUACAAUGGUAGAGAGCACCUCUAUUUAUAGGGAGGAGGAUGAUUUAUCUACCAAGAAUAGAACUCUAGAAUCUCUCUAAUUAAAGAC
rnacentral:lncRNA from 1 species